rnacentral:lncRNA from 1 species
UUGAAAAGGAAGCUCAACUCUCAAAAUAGUAACAGACUAAGGCCCUGUUUGGGAGAGCUUUUGGAGGGUCAAAAAGCACUUUCUGGCCCUCCAAAAGCACUUUUGGAUAAAAAAGGAUGUUUAGCAAAAAUUUUAGAAAGCUGUUUUAGCUUUUUCAAAAAGCUAAAAAUAGCUUUGGAGAAUCUUCAUUUUGGAGCUUUCCAAAAAAACUAUUUUGAGCUUUGUCGGAAAGCUAUUUUUUGACCAAAAUACCUAUAAUAAAAUAUAACAAUUACAUAUUUUAUCCCUUUAUAAUUCUAAAAAUCUACUGGAGCCCUAACAAAGAGCCGUAGCUAUGGAUCAGACUCCCUUCCGUAUAAAAAAAGGUAUUCUUGUUUUCCAUUAUUAUUUUAUACCUUUAUUAUUGUAUUAUACUAUAAAUAUAAUAUUAUAUUAUAUUAUAUCAUAAUACAUUAAUAUGUUAUAUUAAAUAAUUUAAUAUUAUGUUAUAUUAUAAAAAAAUAUUUAUGCUAACAAUUAUAAUAUUUUAUAUCUUUAUUAUUAUAUUAUACUAUAAAUAUAAUAAUAUAUUACAUUAUACUAUAAUGCAUUGAUAUGUUAUGUUAAAUAAUUUAGUAUUAUAUUAAAUUAUUAUACUAU